rnacentral:rRNA from 1 species
GACGGAGGGUGCUAGCGUUGUUCGGAAUUACUGGGCGUAAAGGGCGCGUAGGCGGCGGAAGGAGUCGGAUGUGAAAGCCCGGGGCUCAACCCCGGAACGGCAUCCGAUACUCUUCUGCUUGAGACCGAGAGAGGUGAGUGGAAUACCCAGUGUAGAGGUGAAAUUCGUAGAUAUUGGGUGGAACACCGGUGGCGAAAGCGGCUCACUGGCUCGGUUCUGACGCUGAGGCGCGAAAGCGUGGGGAGCAAACAGG